CUAUAAGUUCCAAUCUUGUCCGUCUUUAAGUAAUUCGCUUGGAGCUAUUCAGUCGUGCGCCGGACCUCCACUCAUUCAUGCUGCCGUGUCUGCCGAUGAGCUGUGUCGCCUGGUCCCGCGUCAUGCCGCUGUGGAACCAAGGCUGUGUGAUGUGUAUACCAGACUUGAGACCCCCCGCACCAGACACCCUGAGCAGACUGGGGCCGCGCGUCGACGGUCGCCAGCGCCUCUUCCACGAGUAACCCUCUGCCACGGCGAUGGCCUUGGCUUCCUGAGGGUCCUCCACGAUACGACCGACACUCCCCGUGAAGUCCAUGGCCACGCGGGAUCGGACACUUUCCUGCAUCGCACACAAUUACCGAGUCGUGUACCUUGUGAGAGAUGUGAAGGAUCGCAUCUCGCAGCAGGAGGAACACUUUGCUCCACACCUGUUUGUUUGCCUCCCGCAACCACACGUGGCUGCUGAUCACAGG